rnacentral:rRNA from 1 species
AUUGAACGCUGGCGGCAUGCCUUACACAUGCAAGUCGAACGGCAGCACGGGUGCUUGCGCCUGGUGGCGAGUGGCGAACGGGUGAGUAAUACAUCGGAACAUGUCCUGUAGUGGGGGAUAGCCCGGCGAAAGCCGGAUUAAUACCGCAUACGAUCUACGAUGAAAGCGGGGGACCUUCGGGCCUCGCGCUAUAGGGUUGGCCGAUGGCUGAUUAGCUAGUUGGUGGGGUAAAGGCCAACCAAGGCGACGAUCAGUAGCUGGUCUGCGAGGACGACCAGCCACACUGGGACUGAGACACGGCCCAGACUCCUGCGGGAGGCAGCAGUGGGGAAUUUUGGACAAUGGGCGAAAGCCUGAUCCAGCAAUGCCGCGUGUGUGAAGAAGGCCUUCGGGUUGUAAAGCACUUUUGUCCGGAAAGAAAUCCUUGGCCCUAAUACGGUCGGGGGAUGACGGUACCGGAAGAAUAAGCACCGGCUAACUACGUG